rnacentral:lncRNA from 1 species
UUCUCAACGAGCUUGCAGAAAUAAAAGUUCUUUUAAAAGAAGUUAUAGAAAUUAAGUUUCAGGCUACUGGGGUGAAGUUGCUAGAAUCAGUGGACGAAGUGGUUACACUGGAUAAUAAACUAAAAGAUAAAACCGAGUAUACUAAUUUGCUUGGUAGUUUGAAAAAGAUUGGUGGUAGAAAGCCAAGAGAACAUGUUUUUUUUUGAUCAUGAAAAGAUUUACUUUUAACAUGACAAUUUGAUAAACUCGGGAGCUUC